AACACUUUACAAAACACUCUAGCAGGCCAGUCUGACCUUUCGACAAAAGUAAAAUUAUUUGUGUUUCAGAGAAGUCUGCAAUGGUCAUUUGAAGUACCACGGAAACACCAUGAACAUCCCACCAGAAACAGGUUUGUUCUCCUGAGAAGAGGGUCAGUUGGGCUCUUCCAGGCUCUCUCCUUGGAGAAGUUUGCUUCUGUCUUGGUCCAGAGUGAGAAUCUAAUCAAGGAGUCGGGGCUGCCACCAGUCCUUGAGGUCUGGACGCUGAGUGGUCCUGAUGCAGGCGGCCCUGGGCUGCUGCAUCCACACAGAGGGAGAGCAGAGGCUCCGGUUCUCCAGGAGUUCUUGGGUGUCUCAUUUGGCCAAGAGCCGGAAGCACGGCUUCAGCUAAACUAUGCUCUGGCCUAGGCAUACUGGUCUGUUUGCACAUCCUGUGGGUGGACACAGGUUCAGCCUCCAAAAAUGAAGCCGCAGGACAGCCAUGGAGGAGACUCAGAAUUUAGACCUCAAGAUAUCUACAAGGUGGGGAAACUCACCUUCCACGCCAGUCACAUUGGACGAAGGGUCCACACCGCUCGGAUAGGAGCUCAUCUUAACUCAUGACAUCUGCGGAGACCCUCUUUCCAGAGCCUGCGAGCCACAACUACUGAAGCCCACGCGCCACAACUACUGAAGCCUGCACGCCUAGAGGCCGUGCUCUGCAACAAGAGAAGCCACCACAAUGAGAAGCCCAUGCACUGCAAGGAAGAGUAGCCCCCGCUCGCCACAACUAGAGAAAGCCUGUGCGCAGCAACGAAGACCCAACACAGCCAAAAAUAAA